UCAGAAUUGAGAGCCCCGCAUUUUAAACUAGCGGGAUUUAAACACUAAAGUUACAGCAAGGAGCUGUGUGGUCCAUUUGGGGUGGCUGUGAAAGGCAGAGAUGAAUGCGGUACCUAUCUGUUAAAACCAGGGUCACCUCGAUUGCUGAAGAGCCCUGGUUUAACCACAGUUGAGUAACCAUAAUCAUCAACAACUCUCCCUUCGGAAAACAAAUUAUAUAGUCACUGUGUUUCUGACUGACUCGCAUUUCUGCACAAAUUUCACUCUUCAGCAAUUUGCUGAUUGUGCCGGGAAUCCUGCCAUGCAGAGAAAGAAGAGUAAUGAGUAUGAUCCGAGGGUCCUGUGAUUAGGAAAAUUCUGAGCUUGAGCCCCCGUGGAUCUACAGCUGAGAGAAGCCCAGGACUCCAUGGCAGGUGGUUCUCAUGAGACUGUGAAUGCAGCGGAGGUCACUCAGGACCCAAAGUAACACUGAGUUAAGGAGAACGACAUUGCCACCACAUCCCAGUCCCCAUUUUUUGGUUACAAGCGGUUGCAGCAUGACUUCAGCCCUGGGCCCACUGGAACAGCCUUUUCAGGGAGGGCAGUAGCAGUUGAGAAAUAGGCAAAGGGCCUGGUCAGGGCACCUGGAGGGGAAGAACAAUCCAGCCCAUCACUGGGCACAGAAGAGAAAGGACUAUGCAGGCAUGUGCAACACAGAAGCCCUGUCCUGAGGGUGGUACCCGACCUGCGAUUACACCCAGAGGCUGGAGAGCCCCGGGCCUGCUGGCUCUCUUGCCUUGGUACA